AGAUAGCAAUAGAAAUAUAAUUCUGUCUGCUUGAUGCAAACUUCUGAUUUUCUCCGUAUAGACAAUUAACUGCAAUUCCUUGAGGCUACAGAAAAAUUUAUUCCUUUACUUUAGAACUUUGAAUUGUACUAUUGACCAUACAAGUCAUAGAAAUAGUAAUCAUCUGUGGACCUUCAUAAGAUUUACAGGUACAUGCUGCAUUUUAAUUU
rnacentral:lncRNA from 1 species